GAUGAAGAACGUAGCGAAAUGCGAUAAGUAGUGUGAAUUGCAGAAUUCAGUGAAUCAUCGAAUCUUUGAACGCACAUUGCGCCCUUUGGUAUUCCUUAGGGCAUGCCUGUUCGAGCGUCAUUUAAACCUUCAAGCUCAGCUUGGUGUUGGGUGACUGUCCGCCGCCUCCGGGCGCGUGGACUCGCCUCAAAAUUAUUGGCGGCCGGUACAUUGGCUUCGAGCGCAGCAGAAACGCGAACUCGGGCCCGUCGUAUUGGCUCCCAGAAGCUAUCUUCACAAUUUUGACCUCGGAUCAGGUAGGGAUACCCGCUGAACUUAAGCAUAUCAAUAACGGAGGA
rnacentral:misc_RNA from 1 species